UGCUAAAACAGAUUCUUAGUUAUUUGAGGUA
rnacentral:piRNA from 1 species